GGAAUCUUCCACAAUGGCGCAAGCCUGAUGGAGCAACACCGCGUGAGUGAAGAAGGGUUUCGGCUCGUAAAGCUCUGUUGUUAAAGAAGAACACGUAUGAGAGUAACUGUUCAUACGUUGACGGUAUUUAACCAGAAAGUCACGGCUAACUACGUGCCAG
rnacentral:rRNA from 1 species